CUGCAGUCGAACGAUGAAGCUGGAGCUUGCUCCGGCCGAUUAGUGGCGAACGGGUGAGUAACACGUGAGCAAUCUGCCCUUGACUCUGGGAUAACUGCGGGAAACUGUAGCUAAUACCGGAUACUUUCCUCGCUGGGCAUCCAGCGGGGAAGAAAGAAUUUCGGUCAAGGAUGAGCUCGCGGCCUAUCAGCUAGUUGGUGAGGUAAAGGCUCACCAAGGCGACGACGGGUAGCCGGCCUGAGAGGGUGACCGGCCACACUGGAACUGAGACACGGUCCAGACUCCUACGGGAGGCAGCAGUGGGGAAUAUUGCACAAUGGGCGAAAGCCUGAUGCAGCAACGCCGCGUGAGGGAUGAAGGCCUUCGGGUUGUAAACCUCUUUUAGCAGGGAAGAAGCGAAAGUGACGGUACCUGCAGAAAAAGCACCGGCUAACUACGUGCCAGCGGCCGCGGUAAUACGUAGGGUGCAAGCGUUGUCCGGAAUUAUUGGGCGUAAAGAGCUCGUAGGCGGUUUGUCACGUCUGCUGUGAAAAUCCGAGGCUCAACCUCGGACUUGCAGUGGGUACGGGCAGGCUAGAGUGCGGUAGGGGAGAAGGGAAUUCCUGGUGUAGCGGUGGAAUGCGCAGAUAUCAGGAGGAACACCAAUGGCGAAGGCACUUCUCUGGGCCGUAACUGACGCUGAGGAGCGAAAGCGUGGGGAGCGAACAGGAUUAGAUACCCUGGUAGUCCACGCCGUAAACGGUGGGUGCUAGCUGUGGGCCACAUUCCACGUGGU
rnacentral:rRNA from 1 species